rnacentral:rRNA from 1 species
UGUGCCCUUACAGGGAGCCGUAACACAGGUGCUGCAUGGCUGUCGUCAGCCCGUGUCGUGAGAUGUUGGGUUAAGUCCCGCAACGAGCGCAACCCUUGUCCCUAGUUGCUACGCAAGAGCACUCCAGGGAGACUGCCGGUGACAAACCGGAGGAAGGUGGGGAUGACGUCAAGUCCUCAUGGCCCUUAUGGGUAGGGCUUCACACGUCAUACAAUGGUCGGAACAGAGGGUUGCCAAGCCGCGAGGUGGAGCCAAUCCCAGAAAACCGAUCGUAGUCCGGAUCGCAGUCUGCAACUCGACUGCGUGAAGCUGGAAUCGCUAGUAAUCGCGGAUCAGCAUGCCGCGGUGAAUACGUUCCCGGGUCUUGUACACACCG